rnacentral:rRNA from 1 species
GACGGAGGAUGCAAGUGUUAUCCGGAAUCACUGGGCGUAAAGCGUCUGUAGGUGGUCAAAUAAGUCAACUGUUAAAUCUUGAGGCUCAACCUCAAAAUCGCAGUCGAAACUAUUCGACUAGAGUAUAGUAGGGGUAAAGGGAAUUUCCAGUGGAGCGGUGAAAUGCGUAGAUAUGCGGAGGAACACCGAUGGCGAAGGCAAUCCCCUGGACCUGUACUGACGCUCAUGCACGAAAGCGUGGGGAGCAAACAGG